rnacentral:lncRNA from 1 species
CGGGUGAUGAAAACGCGAGCGACUUCUCCCUGUCGCUCUGGUAUGGUCGCUCUGAGCUUCGGGAGCGACUUCAGCACGUCGCUCUGGAAGGUCGCUCCGAGGUGUAAAUGUGUGUCUCCAGACGUGAAAACGCGAGCGACCUUGUGCAGUCGCUCUGGAUGAGUCGCUCCGGGAUGUGGUGCACAGCGACCUCAUGCCGUCGCUCCGAGAGGUCGCUCCGGCAGUGCUCGUCCAAAGAUCACUCUAAUCACCUCCUUUUGAGCUCCAAAUGCACCCAAAUGUCUCCAGAAAUUCCAUGUGGUACUCAAAUACCUGAUAGAGACAUAUGCAUGCAAAAUGCAACCUAGACAUGGCUAAGUCCUAAUCUAUAUGAUGAAAAUGCACAUGAAUAAAUGGAUAAAACAAUGUAAAUAUGCAAGAUAUCAACUCCCCCAAACCUGUUCUUUUACUUGUCCUCAAGUGAACUUUCUAGAACUUGCAAGGAGAGAGGUUUGAAGGUGGGAGCUCAUAGCCAAAAGAAACACAACUAGCGAAUAUAAUUAGCACACUCUCUUAUUACACUCUAGCUUCUCUAGGCCUAUCUCAAAUCCUUUUGUCCCUACACUCAUCAUCAAGCAUCCACACAUUCAAAUCAACCAACUCUCACAUUCAUUAAGCACAAAACAUCAGGUGAAUUCUUGCAAAUGGUCCGUUGGUCCAAGUCACUUGGUUGGGUAAGGGAAGGCUUUUAUUCAAGUGGUUCAAGAGGUUCAAAACAUACGAUCUUUAAGGUGAUUUACUCUCAAAACAAGUAGCCUUGACAUUGCACAUAAUGUAUCUAAGAAAGGGACCAACUCAUGCAUACAAUGCUCAAUCUCCAUUGUUCUACCCUUUUCCCAAACAUACCAUUAAACAAUCAUUCCCAAAUGUCAAACCCAACUCACAUCUCUCACCAAAAGAUCUUAAGAACUUUAACUCUUUCUUUUUGAAAUCUACAAGGGAUUUUUCUACAACCUCAAAACAUUUCUUAGCUCUUAACAACUUUGCUAGCCCCCUUUUCUUUCUUUUCUUUUUUUUUUUUUCGAUUUCUUUUCUUUUUUUUUAUAUUUUUUUUUUUUAGGUUGGGGGCCAAGACUUUUCAAAACUAGAGCUAGAGGUUCUCUACUUAUCCCAGAAAAUCAAUUCACUUAAGCACAAAGAGUCUAUCCUUUUUAUUUUUUAUUUCUCCCAAAUCAUGUUCACAACACUCACCCUCCCACCUAUAGCUAGACAAUAGAGUGUCCAAUCUAGCAAAAAUGAAGAUCAAGCAUUGUCGUUCCCGAUACUCUCAACAUUAUGCGCAUGUAAGACUUUCCGAAGAAGGCCUCACUCAUCAAACAAUGAAAGCUUAAAAGGAAGGAAAGGUUUUGGGAGUGGUCUACCACUAGAGUUUGUCAAAAAGAUUGGCAUAAAAGAUGUGACAACUCCAGUGUGUAUAGCCAUGACUCAGUACACAAGGGAAGCAAGAAGCAUUAAGUUCAUUCAUUUCUAAUAAGGUUGUAGUUGGCUUCAAAGACUGAGUUUCAGCAAUCAACAAGUUUCAAGAAGAGUUUUCAAGGCUCGAAACAUACAAGUCUUUUCGAGAGGUGCAAGGCUACUCAAUGGUGCAACGUAGUGUUCUUUACAAGGCAUUUAAAAUCAUUGCUCCCAAUGCAAGUGAAUGCAACCUAUAUGCUCUAGACUCUCCUAAUGGUGCAAAUGAUGCAAACUAAAUGAAAAAUCUUUUUUUUUUUUUUUUUUAAAUGCAAAUAGGUGUGGCAAUGCAUGACUCAAAUGAAACACAAUCAAAGCAAACAUGAUCAAAUGCUUGGUACCUCCCCCAAACUUGAGUUACACAGUCUCUGUGUUGUCAAAGAAAGAAGGAGAUACCGAGAAGAAAACUAAUAUGCAAAAAUGAAAUGGUAUAUACAAGGGAGAGAAAGAAGUACCUCCUAUGGAUAAUAGGUGGGGGCAGAUGCCCCAACAUCGUCGUCGUCAGGAGGGAAGGUGGUGUAGUAACCACCGGAUGCUGAACCGGAGCCUCCAUACCAUGGCUGGCUCUCAACCUCGUCAAUCUCGUGCUCACUGUCAGAAGAAGCAAGGGAUGGGGAUUUGUUGCCGGAAGUGGAAGGUUGAGUGGGUGGGUUCCUCCACUUACGCUGAAGCUGCGCAGCAGUGAGGGGGAAACCAAGAGCAUCAGGCGGGGGUGGAGGCUGGGGGUUUGAGGUGUUCGCGAAAGCGAAAUCAGCUGAGCUACAUCCAGCUAUUCCUCCCCUAGUUAAAACAUCAGCUACUUUCUUCAUGAACUUUGCUGAAGUUUUUGCCUGCUUCUUCACAGUCUUGCUGAGUGCCUUGCACUUAUCCUUGAGCUUUUCUAUCGUUCUGUCCUGAGCUUUGUUCCACCUCUGGAGACGACCAAUGUGGUCAUGAGCAUCACGGAGAGCUCCAGGGGGAAGGACUCCGUCAUGGGGCUUGAAGUAGUAGCGCGGAGGUCCAUAGAUAUGCUCAGACGUGUCUGCAACAGGCGGGUCAGGUUGCGUAGGGACACUCCUUCUCCUUGACGAAGCUGCUUGAAUUGGAUCGAGGGGCCCGUGUUCUCCGAGAAAGUACUCCUGGGAAAUGUUGAAGCUGACAGCUCCUGGUAUCUCUAAACUCGUCAGGUUCCGGUUUGGAAGAACCACCUCGACUGGCUUGCCCUGCAAGUAGUAGUGGUAGACGUAGUCCUUCCCAUACAUCCCACUGAAAUAGGUGGCAAUCCUCAAGUAGGUGCCAUCAAUGAACCUAGGCCCCGCUGCGUCCUUUCCCAAGGGAACAUUCAGAAAUUGGAGCAGUGGUGUGAUCAUUCCGCCUAUCCCCAUCUUUGGGCGCGAAUCAGUGGUGUACCACGCCCAGUCUCUGUAGUGUUCGAGACGGCCCACAAAGAAACUGACCAUCCCAAAGGUAGCAUAGAUAUCAGUGCUGGGAAGGGGUAACACUCCAGGUUGAGCGUAAGGACGGAUAGCCGGACAGAGCAGUCGCAUGUCUUCCUCAGUAACAUUACCAGCUUGCUUCCGUGGGUAGAAAGCAUGGACUAGCAAUCUGUGGAGGUAGCGUACAGACGGGUGUCGGAUGUGUGAGUUCUUGUCAGCCCCGGUAGAGUGCCUGUUUCCAGUGAUCAACUUCCAAAGCUCUGUGGGGAGGUUCUCACACUUGGGAAGUGAGUGGUCUUCUAGGUCUUGGAACCCCAUGACCCUCCCAAUGUCCUUGAAGUUCAUGUUGUAUUCCCUUCCAUUGACCUUGAACGUGAUUUUUCCCCAUCCUUGCCUCACAUGCGCCGUGUCGUGGUAAGUGACCACAAGAGAGGAUAGGAACUGACAAGUGACAUCCUUGUAGAAAGGAUAAGCCAUGGUGAGGAGUUUCGGCAUCUUCAAAUGUCCCAGCAUUGCCUCAAUAUCAGAGUCUAGACCCAACUCCUUCAGCAGGUUGAGGUCGGCGAACCUGGUUGGAGCCCAGGUGACUCCAUUCUUCAAAUGAUCAUACAGCUCCUCUACAGAUGGAGUUUUCGCCCUGUCUCGAUCAACAACAACCCCUUUGCCCUUUGACAUCUUGGCUUUCUUCGUAGGUGCUGGCUCAUCAUCACUCUCAGUUUCACCUUCCUCAUGGGUGGGAACUGCUACACUUUUUCCUGCCCUCUUCUCGUGUUCUUUCGAUUUCCUUGCAGCCAACGUCUGCUGUCGCACAGUCCGCUGCGUCCCUGAGCCAGUUGGCUCGCUGGUUAAAGCCUUUCCUCUUAGUGCAAACUCUUGAUUUUCGGCUUCUUGCCUCUCAGCUUCCAACCUGCCCUUUGUCUUCUUAACCAUUUUCACCUGAAAAGUUACAAACUUGGAAAGGGAUAAGUAGAUGGAAGUGAAGAAAAAGAAGACUUUGCAAGCGAACAUUUUGCAAGAAUGAACUUAACAAAUGAAUUUUUCAGUUUAAACUCAAGUUCAACACAAUGCAACAAUGUAACAUCUUAACGCAUCUAGUACACCCGCAAACACACUCAAUUAAGGUCAAAUUCGAAAAAUCCCCAAAUCCAUGAACCCUAAUUUUGCCAAAGUGCAAAUUAAACUCAAUUUCACAGUUAAUUCAACAACCCAACAUGAUAGAUAAGCUUUCCCUAGUCUAUUUCACCACAAUCUAGCAAGAAGAGGACCAAAUUUCGACUUUCAAAUUCUAGGGUUCAUAGACCUACGAAUUUGAAUUUUAAAACUCAAUACCUUGCUCUGGAUGAAAGGAAAUGGUGAAUGGGUGGUGAGGAAUAGACUACAGGGGCGAAAGCUUGGAUUUAGAAAGAAGAAGCAGUUGAUUUGGGUGAGAAUUGAGAAAGUUUUGGGGAUUUUGGUGUGGAUGAGUUUGAGAGAGUUUGUGAGUUUGUGAGAGGAGGGGAGAGGGAUAGAGUUGGAGUCGCAGGGUUGGGGUAGAGUUAGGGUCGUCCGGUUCGGUUUAGGGUGGUCUAGGGUCGGUUUACUUGAAUCAAACCGGGGUUUAGAGUUAGGAAACUUACCUGGACCGGGUCGGGAGCGACGUGAGGGUGUCGCUGGGAGAGGUCGCUCCCGAGUCGUUUCCUCGCGUCGUGUUUCGACAAAACCGCGAGCGACCUUGAAGUGUCGCUCUAGAAACCUCGCUCUGGGCUGGAGCGACUUCAAGGUGUCGCUCUAGGACGUCGCUCCGGGUCAGUUUUUGAGCUCCGUUUCGUCGAAAACGCGAGCGACUCCGAGGUGUCGCUCCCAUAAUGUCGCUCCCAGCUGGAGCGACCCUUCGGCCUCGCUCCGAGACCUCGCUCUGAGGCGAUUUUUUCUUGAUCCGACGACGAAAACGCGAGCGACCAUGGAGUGUCGCUCUCGAAACCUCGCUCCCAACUGGAGCGACCUUGAGGUGUCGCUGUGAGACCUCGCUCCCACGCACGACUCCUGCUCAAAAUGAACCGAUCAAGCACCUGCACACAACUUCUCUCUCUUUUUUUUUUUUUUUUUUUAAUGCAAUAAGAUGAAAAAUGGAAAUACCAAUGCAAUAUGUACAAGGAUACGCAUGGGACUUCCUCCCAAGUGAGCUUGUUUUAAGUCCCGAGCUUGACUUUGCCUCCUUUUAGAUUAGGCCGGGGUAGGAUCAGACAGUGGAGUUGAAACCCCAUCUUCCUCUGGUGCAGUAGCCAUGUAGAGCUUAACCCUUUGUCCAUUGACUGUGAAGUCUCUUCCAUCAGUGCUCCACAAAAUUAUUGCUCCAUAUGGUCUAACCUCCUUGACCUUGAAAGGACCGGACCACCUUGACUUAAGCUUUCCUGGAAACAACUUCAGCCUAGAGUUGUAGAGGAGAACUUGGUCUCCUUCUUUAAACUCUCUCUUCAGGAUGUUCUUGUCAUGGAAAGCCUUAGUCUUCUCCUUGUAGAUUCUUGAGUUCUCGAAAGCAUCCAAUCUUAUCUCAUCAAGCUCAUGUAGCUGAAAGAGCCUUUUCUCUUUGGCACUCUUGAUGUCGAAGUUCAGCAACUUUAUUGCCCAUAGUGCCUUGUACUCAAGCUCCACUGGCAAAUGGCAAGCUUUCCCAUACACUAGGUUGAAAGGUGUGGUACCCAGUGGUGUCUUGUACGCUGUCCUAUAAGCCCAAAGUGCAUCGUCAAGCUUAUUAGACCAAUCCUUCCUUGUAAUCCCCACAAUCUUCUCCAGGAUAGAUUUGAUCUCCCUGUUAGAAAUCUCAACUUGGCCACUUGUUUGGGGAUGAUAAGGAGUUGCCACCUUGUGCUUCACACCGUUCUUCUUGAGAAGUCCCUCAAGCAGUUUGUUAAUGAAGUGGGAACCUCCAUCACUGAUUACAACUCUUGGAACUCCAAACCUUGGGAAGAUGAUGCUCUUGAACAUCUUGAUUACAACUCUAGCAUCAUUGGUGGGGCUUGCAAUGGCUUCCACCCAUUUGGAGACAUAGUCAACAGCCACAAGGAUAUAUUUGUUGCCAAAAGAUGAUGGAAAUGGUCCCAUGAAGUCAAUACCCCAGACAUCAAACACUUCAACUUUAAGGAUUGGAUUUUGAGGCAUCUCAUUCCUCUUGGUGAUGUUUCCUCUCCUUUGGCAAGAAUCACACUUUGAAACGAAGUCUUGUGUAUCCUUGAACAUGUGUGGCCACCAGAAUCCAGCUUGUAAUAUUUUUGCAACUGUCUUGAAAGUGGCGAAGUGACCUCCAUAGGAUGAUCCAUGACACUGUGCAAGGAUCCCAUCAAUCUCCUCAUUUGCGACCACUCUCCUAUAAAGCUGAUCUUUGCAGAGAAUGUAGAGGUAGGGUUCGUCCCAGUAAUAUCUUUUCACAUCCUUGUAGAACUUCUUCUUGGCAUACCCUACAAGAUUCAAAGGUUCUCUUCCUGUGGCUAGGUAGUUCACCAAAUCAGCAUACCAAGGUUCUUUCUCCUCUGUUGCUUUGACCUCUUCCAGCUUCCUACCAGUCUCACAAACUGCUAUCACUCCUUCGAUAGCCAUGAUCUGCUCUUCAGGAAGUCCUUCGUCAAUAGGGACACCAGACUCUAUCCUCAACCUGGACAAAUGAUCAGCUACUCCAUUCUCAACUCCAGGUUUGUCCUUGAUCUCCAUAUCAAACUCUUGGAGCAAAAGGAUCCACCUCAAAAGCCUGGGUUUUGCAUCUUUCUUGGCCAGAAGGUGUCUCAAGGCAGCAUGAUCUGUGUAGACAAUGACUUUAGACCCAACCAAGUAGCUCCUGAACUUCUCAAAGGCAAAAACAAUUGCCAGCAUCUCCUUCUCUGUUGUGGCAUACCUCAUUUGAGCAUCAUUGAGGGUUUGGCUGGCAUAGUAGAUCACAUGGGUUUUGCCAUUUUUCUUCUGCCCCAGAACAGCUCCCACAGCAUAGUCACUGGCGUCACACAUGAUCUCAAAAGGGAGAUCCCAAUCAGGUGGCUGGACAAUUGGGGCACUAACGAGUUCACCCUUCAGCUUCUUGAAAGCUUGUAGACAUUCCCCGGCAACGGCGCCAAUUUGAUGUUAGGAGUUUUCAAGGCUCCUAAGACAAAUGUUGUAGUAUAGAAGAUUGUCGAACCAGUUCUGAGAGAUAUCAAAGCACCGAGAAUGCAAGUAAUCACUUAAUCUAAGUGCAACCAAUGAUUUAGAUAGGUUUUUAAACUAUGACUAAUUAAAAGGAAUAACUAAAUGAUACUUUCUUAACUAUUGGAAAAGAGAACUCAUGGAUAUAGGGAUUAGACCUCGGGUGAUCAAGUUUCGAACUAAAGAUGGCAAACGAUCAAUCAAUCUAUUAACCUUAAGCUUAGACGCAAUCCUAAACAAACUCUAUGUCUAGAUGAAUGUUCAUUUACUAAACACAAUUCAAACAUCAAAUGUCUUUGGUUGAAUAUAUGAAAGCAAUCAUUACUAACAAGUCUAUUAGCUAUCUUAGCAUCUCUAACAACAAAUGUCUUUGGCAGAGCAUGCUAAAAGCCUAGGAGAGUUGUCUCGGGCAUUUCAUCGAACACCUUUCGGGUGAGAAAUGCCUAAGGAUCAACAAUUGAGUGGCCAACUCAGAAGAUGCUUUAUGUUCACUCUACUAGCAAGGAAAUAUGAAUGAUCUACACUAAAACAUCCUAGUUCUAACCUAAUCACCCUUAAUCUCCCUAACCCAUGAAUUCAAAAGGUGAUUACUCACUAAUCUCCAUGAUCCCUCUUAAACCCAUGUUGGAUUUCAGAUUAAUCAUGUAGAGAAAUACAGGAAAUAAAAGGAACACAGAAUUUCAAUAACAAAAUUGAUCAAUUGAUUCAAAGAGAUCACUUUCCAAAGGUUUUUGGUGGUUUUCUAAGAACAAAGAUGAUCUGCCUCCUGGUGGCUUACAGAGUAAUAAAACAUAGGUUUAGAAAAUAAAAACGUGCAUAAUGAAAUGACCAAAAUGCCCUUGAGAAAUCACAAGUUCGAGCAGAAACAAAACACGGAGCGACCUCAGCCCGUCGCUCCGACAAGUCGCUCCAGGCUUCGGGAGCGACCUCGCUGUGUCGCUGCGAGAGGUCGCUCCGGGCUCGUUCUCGCGUCUCCGGGUGAUGAAAACGCGAGCGACUUCUCCCUGUCGCUCUGGUAUGGUCGCUCUGAGCUUCGGGAGCGACUUCAGCACGUCGCUCUGGAAGGUCGCUCCGAGGUGUAAAUGUGUGUCUCCAGACGUGAAAACGCGAGCGACCUUGUGCAGUCGCUCUGGAUGAGUCGCUCCGGGAUGUGGUGCACAGCGACCUCAUGCCGUCGCUCCGAGAGGUCGCUCCGGCAGUGCUCGUCCAAAGAUCACUCUAAUCACCUCCUUUUGAGCUCCAAAUGCACCCAAAUGUCUCCAGAAAUUCCAUGUGGUACUCAAAUACCUGAUAGAGACAUAUGCAUGCAAAAUGCAACCUAGACAUGGCUAAGUCCUAAUCUAUAUGAUGAAAAUGCACAUGAAUAAAUGGAUAAAACAAUGUAAAUA